AAAUUAACAGUUGUUCCUUCCACCGGAGACAUCAGAAUCAGAGGUUCCUGCAACUUAUUUUUUCAAUGCCCCUCGUCAGCCAUUAUCCACCUGACCGUUUGCUCUCUUUUUCGGUUCAGUUCAGGCAUUUCUUACAUUGCUUUUUCUUCUUCUUUUCUUUCCUUUCUUUGUUUCUUUGUUUUUUUUUUUUUUUUGCAGGAUCGACCUCG
rnacentral:lncRNA from 1 species